rnacentral:rRNA from 1 species
UUAAUUGAUCUGACGAGCUUGCUCUGAUUUGAUUUUAUCUGACAAAGAGUGGCGAACGGGUGAGUAACACGUGGGUAACCUACCUCUUAGCAGGGGAUAACAUUUGGAAACAAGUGCUAAUACCGUAUAAUACCAACAACCGCAUGGUUGUUGGUUGAAAGAUGGUUCUGCUAUCACUAAGAGAUGGACCCGCGGUGCAUUAGCUAGUUGGUAAGGUAACGGCUUACCAAGGCAAUGAUGCAUAGCCGAGUUGAGAGACUGAUCGGCCACAAUGGGACUGAGACACGGCCCAUACUCCUACGGGAGGCAGCAGUAGGGAAUCUUCCACAAUGGGCGCAAGCCUGAUGGAGCAACGCCGCGUGUGUGAUGAAGGGUUUCGGCUCGUAAAACACUGUUAUAAGAGAAGAACGGCACUGAGAGUAACUGUUCAGUGUGUGACGGUAUCUUACCAGAAAGGAACGGCUAAAUACGUGCCAG